UACGUAGGGCGCAAGCGUUGUCCGGAAUUAUUGGGCGUAAAGAGCUCGUAGGUGGCGUGUCGCGUCUGCCGUGAAAUCCCAUGGCUCAACCAUGGAACUGCUCGGUAUACUGCGAAUCUUGAGCCACUUAGGGGCUACCGGAACAAAUGGUGGAGCGGUGAAAUGCGUAGAUAUCAUUUGGAACGCCAAUGGUGAAAACAGGUAGCUGGGAGUGUGCUGACACUGAGACACGAAAGCCAGGGGAGCGAACGGG
rnacentral:rRNA from 1 species